CUUUAACAUCAAAGUAGGUGAGGCCGCUUAAAUUACCUGCUCAUUAUGAGGCUGGAGAAAAAUUGCUCUUCCGUGAUGUUUAGAGAAGCGGCAAUCUAUGGAUAAUGAUGCGAGCCGACAGAAUUCUGGCUUAUGCAGUCUGUCAGUCUGCGAGCUCAUUUAUCCACCGUGGUCAUGCAAGAUCCCAUCACACCUUAUAGAGUUGCCUUUGUCAGAGCCUCUAUAAAAGGGAAUUAAUUUGGGGAUUAAGGAAAUCGGAGAAGGCAAGAGAGCUACCUCUGGUGAAUGCUCUUUAACCCAGACUUUCAGCACCUGACUGGCUACAACAAAGGGUAAUGGUGGUGAUGACGGACGCUGCUGCUGUCUCUCUGUGUGGCGCACAGUCUGCGCCUGUUUUAGUGUCACGGUUCUCAGAGGCUCAGACUGGCUGCUACAUUACCCCCACCUCUCAAUCAAAGCCCACUGUCAGACCCCGAGCAAACAGGAGUGUGUUUCAUGUGUUUGUAGUGGUCUGAAAAAUGAGUCGGUCAUUCCAGUGGAUACAUAGAGUUAUGAUUACAGGUGUCAGACUAAUGUUUUUCUGUGACACUUCAAAGUGCAAAUUAUAUUGGAAUUUAAGUUUCAUCUACGGAUUCAUCAUAAAGUAAAAUGAUAAUUAUCUAAAAAUGAAAAUGCAUUAAAUUGAAUCGAUGGGGACAUAUCAAAAUUUCAAUAGUAAAGAUUGUCAUUGCACAAAAAGCUCUACACGUCCUUCCA